rnacentral:rRNA from 1 species
GAUGAACGCUGGCGGCGUGCCUAAUACAUGCAAGUCGAGCGAACGGACGAGAAGCUUGCUUUUCUGAUGUUAGCGGCGGACGGGUGAGUAACACGUGGAUAACCUACCUAUAAGACUGGGAUAACUUCGGGAAACCGGAGCUAAUACCGGAUAAUAUUUUGAACCGCAUGGUUCAAAAGUGAAAGACGGUCUUGCUGUCACUUAUAGAUGGAUCCGCGCUGCAUUAGCUAGUUGGUAAGGUAACGGCUUACCAAGGCAACGAUGCAUAGCCGACCUGAGAGGGUGAUCGGCCCAACCGGGAACUAGAACCGGUCCAAAAUUCUACGGGAGGCAGCAGUAGGGAAUCUUCCGCAAUGGGCGAAAGCCUGACGGAGCAACGCCGCGUGAGUGAUGAAGGUCUUCGGAUCGUAAAACUCUGUUAUUAGGGAAGAACAUAUGUGUAAGUAACUGUGCACAUCUUGACGGUACCUAAUCAGAAAGCCACGGCUAACUACGUG